rnacentral:sRNA from 1 species
CUUGGUCAUUUAGAGGAAGUAAAAGUCGUAACAAGGUUUCCGUAGGUGAACCUGCGGAAGGAUCAUUCAUAAUAAGUGUUUAUGGCACUUCUUAAAUCCAUAUCCACCUUGUGUGCAAUGUCAGCCGUUUUCUUUAUGAGAGCGGCCAAACAUCAACUUAUUUUUUAACUGUCUGUCUGAAAACUAUUAUGAAUAAACAAUUCAAAUACAACUUUCAACAACGGAUCUCUUGGCUCUCGCAUCGAUGAAGAACGCAGCGAAAUGCGAUACGUAAUGUGAAUUGCAGAAUUCAGUGAAUCAUCGAAUCUUUGAACGCAUAUUGCGCUCUUUGGUAUUCCGAAGAGCAUGCUUGUUUGAGUAUCAGUAAACACCUCAAAGCCUUCAAUUCAGUUUGAAAGCUUUGGACUUGAGCAAUCCCAACAUCAGUCUCGCGACUGACGGAGGGCUGCUUGAAAUGCAGGUGCAGCUGGACAUUCUCCUGAGCUAUAAGCAUAUUUAUUUAGUCCCGUCAAACGGAUUAUUACUUUUGCUGCAGCUAACAUAAAGGGAGUCUGACCGUAUUGGCUGACUGAUGCAGGAUUUCACAAGGGCUGGCAACAGCUUCUUGUAAAACUCGAUCUCAAAUCAAGUAAGACUACCCGCUGAACUUAAGCAUAUCAAUAAGCGGAGGAAAAGAAACUAACAAGGAUUCCCCUAGUAACGGCGAGUGAAGCGGGAUGAGCUCAAAUUUAAAAUCUGGCUGGUUUACUAGUCCGAAUUGUAGUUUAUAGAAGCGUUUUCGGUGGCAGCCUGGGUAUAAAUCCUUUGGAAUAGGGUAUCAUAGAGGGUGAGAAUCCCGUCUUUGACUCAGUGCAUGCUACUAUGUGAUACGUUUUCAAAGAGUCGAGUUGUUUGGGAAU